rnacentral:rRNA from 1 species
AUUGAACGCUGGCGGCAGGCCUAACACAUGCAAGUCGAACGGAGUGGCGAACGGGUGAGUAACACGUGGGUGACCUGCCCUGCACUUCGGGAUAAGCCUGGGAAACUGGGUCUAAUACCGGAUAGUGUGGGAUGGGCCCGCGGCCUAUCAGCUUGUUGGUGGGGUAAUGGCCUACCAAGGCGGCGACGGGUAGCCGGCCUGCGAGGGUGGACGGCCACAUUGGGAAUGGGGCACCGGCCGGACUUCUAAGGGAGGCAGGAGUGAGGGAUAUUGCACAAAGGGGGGAAGGCUGAUGCAGCGACGCCGCGUGGGGGAUGACGGCCUUCGGGUUGUAAACUCCUUUCACCAUCGACGCGGUAUCUAACCAGAAAGCCACGGCUAACUACGUGCCAGCAGCCGCGGUAAUUC